AGAGAAUUAACUGAGUGGUUUAAAGUGCCGGCCUUAAGUACUGGUAUAGGACUCUCCUAUUAUGGGUUUGAAUCCCAUAUUCUCUG